CUUUACUGUAGCUUGGAAUUGAAUUUGGGUUUAUUUUGCGCAGUAUAGGUGGGAGGCUAAGAUAAUAAGCUUGAGGGUUUAUUGGAGCCAGUAGUGAGAUACCACUCUAAAUAAACUAGAAUUCUAACCUUGACAGUCGUUAACCGGCCAAGGAACAGUUUCAGGUGGGCAGUUUGACUGGGGCGGUCGCCUCCUAAAAGGUAACGGAGGCGUGCAAAGGUUCCCUCAGGCUGGUCGGAAAUCAGUCGUAGAGUAUAAAGGCAUAAGGGAGCUUGACUGCAAGACCUACAAGUCGAGCAGAGACGAAAGUCGGCCUUAGUG
rnacentral:rRNA from 1 species